AUGGCCGUAAGCUCGCGGCUACCCGCCCCUCCCGCGCGCGGCCUCCUCCGCCGCUCGCCGCCGCGUAUCCUCCCUCCGAGGCGCCUCGCUUGUGGUGCCCGCGCCGUCUCCGGGAGCCCUGGACCAGGCGGAUCGCCCGUGCCCAGGCGGCCGCCGGCGCCGGUGGACGCCGCGGCAGUCGCUCCGCCCUCGCCGGCGUCCUCCGCAGCGUCGUCCGCCGCCUCGGCCAUCGAUUUCCUCACUCUCUGCCAUAGCCUCAAGACCACUAAAAGGAAAGGCUGGAUAAAUCACAGCAUCAAGGGUUCGGAGUCUAUUGCUGAUCACAUGUAUCGUAUGGCCCUGAUGGCUUUGAUCGCUGAUGACCUACCUGCUGUAAAUCGAGAAAGGUGUAUCAAAAUAGCUAUCGUUCACGACAUUGCUGAAGCUAUUGUUGGCGACAUCACUCCAUCUGACGGCAUACCUAAAGCAGAAAAAAGCAGGCGUGAACAAGAAGCUCUAAAUGAAAUGUGUGAAGUUCUUGGUGGUGGAUCAACAGCUGAGGAAAUUAAGGGGCUGUGGGAAGAAUACGAAAACAACUCCUCUGUUGAAGCCAAUCUCGUAAAGGAUUUUGAUAAAGUGGAAAUGAUUCUUCAAGCGUUAGAGUAUGAGAAGGAGCAUGGAAAAGUGCUAGAUGAGUUCUUUCUCUCUACUGCUGGCAAGUUCCAGACAGAGAUUGGCAAGAGCUGGGCUGCUGAAGUGAAUUCAAGGAGAAGCAAUGGAUGUGGACAGAACUAG
rnacentral:rRNA from 1 species